GGAUCUGAUGGAACAAACUGCCCUCAGACACCACUGAGAUCGUGACACAGGCCAGUGCACUUCAGGAAAUUCAAACUGACAGGAGCCCCUGCCUUCUGCUGUUGCAAAAGUGGCUUGCUGUAGCAAGACGCCAGCUCAGAGCCACGGGCUGGCUGCAACUAAAAGUUCUUGACCCUCCCUCCGGAGAAGGGAGUGCCUGGGGGGCUGAAAGCUUUGGCGGGGUUGAGAUAAACACUCAGGUUAAGGCAUUUUUCAUCUGUUUAACCAGAUCUCGUUAUAUUGUCAAACAAGACUGCAGCGCUCACAAGAAACAGCUAUGGUAUUCUUGUCGAGAGGUGGGAUGAGAAGGAAGAAUUUAUUUUUUCCACUAAGGUUAAUUCCUCCGAUGCUGGGAGGCCAGGCAAAGUUUUUACUGGGAUGGAAAUGAAGGCUGAAGAGGUGAGCUCUUGGAGUCAUUGAAGGGAAGCCUGAUGGCACUUCAUAUGGCCCUGCCUUGCCAGGUGGGGAGGAAAGAGAACGUUAGUAAUAAUCUUGCCUACAUCCUAGGCAGAGAACUUCCCCCUUUUCAGGGCACCCACGUAAGUCAUCCCUAAUUGCAUAUUCCCUUGCUAUGUCGACUCUCCUUCGCUGACUCCAGGAAAAUGCCACCUUGCCUUUUAUUGCCUUUUUUUUUUAAAUAACUUCUCUUACCUUUUCCAGGUUGAGUUGAAUGUAACCAUUGCUUGGUCCUGAUGAUGCUCAAGUUAACUACAUGACCAUGCUACCCAGCCAUGAGUCCAGAUUAUACAGACCUAGUGAUGACCCAUGUGAAAAUACUUACAGUUAGUCCUAAACCAUGGUCUCACUGAAACAGACCAUCUGCAUUUUAGAAAAUCCAAAGCAAAUGUCUGCUUAUAUUCAUUGCUUUGGAGCACGGAAUGUAAUGUAUCGUCUGUCUGUACCGCAAUUCAUCCAUUCACCCACUGAAGGGUAUCUUCAUUGCUUCCCCAAACAUCCCCUUGGUUGCUACUCUAAACAUCUGGGCAGGUUGUUUUCAACUCCUUUGGGUAAACACCAAAGAGCACAAUCGCUGGACUGCAUGGUAAGUGUAUAUUUGGUUUUGUAAGAAACUGCCCAGCUGUCUUCCAAAGUGGCUGUACCAUUUUGCAUUCCCUUUAGCAAUGAAUGAGAGUUCCUGUUUCCUCACAUCCUUGUCAGCAUUUGGUUUUGUCAGUGUUUUGGAUUUGGGCCAUUCUAAUAGGUCUGCUGUGGUAUCACUUUUUUAAAAUUUGCAUUUCCCUGAUGACUUAAGAAGUAGAGCAUCUCUUCCCGUGUUUAUUUGUCAUCUGUACGUCUUCCUUGCUGAGUUGUCUGUUAAGAUGACCCACUUUUAAAAGUUUCCUCAUUUUGAGUUUUAAGAAUUACUUGCGUGUGUGUAUAUAUAUGUAGAUAGAUAGUUAGAUAGAUAGAUAACAGUCCUUUAUCAGACGUGUCUUUUGCAAAUGUUUUCUCCCAGUGUGGGGCUUGUCUUCACAUUCUCUUGAUUCUGUCUUUCACAUAACAGAAGAUUUUAAUUUUAGUGAAGCCCAGCUUAUCAAUGCUUUCCUUCAUGCAUUGUGCCCUUGUGUUGUACCUAAAAAGUCAUCACCACACCCAAGAUCAUCUAGGUUUUUUCCUGUGUUAUCCUCUAGAAGUUCAUAGUUUUGCAUCUAAGUCCAUGAUCCAUUGUGAGCUAAGUUUGGUGAGGGGUGCAAAGUCUGUGUCCAGACCCCCUGUUUUUGCAUGUGGAUGUCCCUUGUUCUAGCACCACUAUUGAAAAGGCUGUUUCUGUUUCAUUGUAUUCCCUUUGUGACUUUGCCAAAGUUGAGUUCGCUAUACUUACGUGGGUCUAUUUCUGGGCUCUCUAUUCUGUCCCACUGAUAAUUUAUCUGUUCUUUUCCCAAUACCACACUGUUUCAAUUACCACAGUUUUUAUAGUAAGUCUUGAAAUUGGGUAGUGUCAGUCCUCCAACUUUGUCCUUCUCCUUCCAUAUUGUGUUGGCCAUUCUGGGUCUUUUGGCUCUCCAUAGAAACCUUAGAAUCAGGUUGUUGAUAUCCAUAAAAUAACCUGCUGAGCUUUUGAUUGA
rnacentral:lncRNA from 1 species